UUUAUGUUCUUGUCAGUUAUUUUGAUAAGUUAUUCUGAUGAGCUUAUGUUAAUUCAAACCUAUACAUUUAUUAACGUUAUCUAUUACCAUUUAUUGAGUUCUUAUUGCUAGUUCGUUUCUCAUCAAUUUUUUUUCUAAUACGGAUAUGCAAAACGAGAUGCCGAACCUCCAAAUAGACGUAAAGUGGAUGAAGAAGAAGGGAUCAGUAAGGGGUAAGGCUGCAAGAACUGGAAUUAGCAAAUCAUCAGUGUAACUAAUUUUUCAUCGCGAACAUCUUUAUUAAAAUCAUUUCAGGCCUGUACAAAAUUUUUUGGAUGCAGAGCUUACAGCAAGACUAGAUUUCGUCCGCUAUAUCCAGGCUCAACCAAAUCAAGAUCCCUUAUUUAUAAAUUAAAUUCUGUCUACGGAUAUAACGACUUUUACCUGACGAGGAAUUUUCAACUUUAAAAACGAGCAUUCAUGCGAUAUUGCAAAUCCGAACCUCAUUACUGAAAGACACUUUCAACACGAAUUUAAAAUUAAUAUUUGGUGUGGUGUAAUAGACAAUUUUUUGAGGCUAUACAAGUUACCUCCAAAUCUAAAUGGAGAAUUAUAUUUAAAGCUUUUACAAACAAAACUUACUGAUUAUUUAUAAGUACAUUUAAAUAUCCGCCAAGAUAUGGUUUUUAUGCAAGAUGGUGCUCCUGCAUCAUUUUGCAAGACCGGUAACAGUAUCUUAAUGCUAAUUUUAGCUGGAUAGGAUCUGGAAGUCGAAGACCUUGGCCCGCAGGAAAUCCAGACUUUAACCCCUUAGACUUUUCCAUGGGGAUACAUGAAAUCAAUUGUUUACGAAAAUACAAUAAACACAAGAAAGCAAUUAAUGGUAAAAAUAUUGACUGCUACUGAAUCAUUUCAAAAUAAUUAAUUAUUCUUUAAGAUUCGACGGUCUUUCAGUAAAAGAAUUUUAAAAUGUAUUGAGACAAAUGGAGGUCAUGUCAAACAUUUACGGGCAAAUAUUCAUAAUUUUUAUUUUCAAUUUAUCUUUUGUAUUUUAUCACUUAUACGAAGUGUAAUACAGCAAUUUAAAUAUUUUAUGAAUGUAAUUUUUUUAAUGCAUUGACAACUUUAAAUGUAAAUAUCUCGAAAAGGGUGAAUUGUAGCGAAAUUUUUGAAGGACAGCUUUUUUAAGCAAAAUUCAUAGUUUAAAUAAAGUACUGAAUUAUGCCACAA